GACGAACGCUGGCGGCGUGCUUAAUACAUGCAAGUCGAGCGAGGCCUUGGAAUUGGAGUCCUUCGGGAUGAAGAGUCCUUGGCCUAGCGGCGGACGGGUGAGUAACGCGUGGGCAACCUACCCCAAAGUCCGGGAUAACAGUGGGAAACCGCUGCUAAUACCGGAUGGCUUUACCUGAGGGCAUCCUUGGGUAAAGAAAGGUUACGCUUUGGGAUGGGCCCGCGUCCCAUUAGCUAGUUGGUGAGGUAACGGCUCACCAAGGCGACGAUGGGUAGCCGGCCUGAGAGGGUGAACGGCCACACUGGAACUGAGACACGGUCCAGACUCCUACGGGAGGCAGCAGUGGGGAAUCUUCCGCAAUGGGCGCAAGCCUGACGGAGCAACGCCGCGUGAGUGAAGAAGGCCUUCGGGUUGUAAACGUCUGUCAUCAGGAAGAAGAAAGUAGACGGUACCUGAGGAGGAAGCCCCGGCUAACUACGUG
rnacentral:rRNA from 1 species